rnacentral:rRNA from 1 species
GAUGAACGCUGGCGGCGUGCCUAACACAUGCAAGUCGAACGAAGCACCUUACCUGAUUCUUCGGAUGAAAGUUUGGUGACUGAGUGGCGGACGGGUGAGUAACGCGUGGGUAACCUGCCCUGUACAGGGGGAUAACAGCUGGAAACGGCUGCUAAUACCGCAUAAGCGCACGAGGAGACAUCUCCUUGUGUGAAAAACUCCGGUGGUACAGGAUGGGCCCGCGUCUGAUUAGCUGGUUGGCAGGGUAACGGCCUACCAAGGCAACGAUCAGUAGCCGGUCUGAGAGGAUGAACGGCCACAUUGGAACUGAGACACGGUCCAAACUCCUACGGGAGGCAGCAGUGUGGAAUAUUGCACAAUGGGGGAAACCCUGAUGCAGCAACGCCGCGUGAGUGAAGAAGUAUUUCGGUAUGUAAAGCUCUAUCAGCAGGGAAGAUAAUGACGGUACCUGACUAAGAAGCUCCGGCUAAAUACGUG